AUUGAACGCUGGCGGCAGGCUUAACACAUGCAAGUCGAGCGGGGUGAUGGUGCUUGCACUAUCACUUAGCGGCGGACGGGUGAGUAAUGCUUAGGAAUCUGCCUAUUAGUGGGGGACAACAUCUCGAAAGGGAUGCUAAUACCGCAUACGUCCUACGGGAGAAAGCAGGGGAUCACUUGUGACCUUGCGCUAAUAGAUGAGCCUGAGUCGGAUUAGCUAGUUGGUGGGGUAAAGGCCUACCAAGGCGACGAUCUGUAGCGGGUCUGAGAGGAUGAUCCGCCACACUGGGACUGGGACACUGCCCAGACUCCUACGGGAGGCAGCAGUGGGGAAUAUUGGACAAUGGGGGGAACCCUGAUCCAGCCAUGCCGCGUGUGUGAAGAAGGCCUUAUGGUUGUAAAGCACUUUAAGCGAGGAGGAGGCUCUUUUGGUUAAUACCCAAGAUGAGUGGACGUUACUCGCAGAAUAAGCACCGGCUAACUCUGUGCCAGCCGCCGCGGUAA
rnacentral:rRNA from 1 species